UACAGAGGAGCCAAGCGUUGUCCGGAUUGACUGGGCGUAAAGCGCACGCAGGCGGGGGUGCGCGUGGGGUGUGAAAUCUGGCCGCUUAACGGCCAGGCGCCAUCCCAUACGGCACGCCUGGAGCCUUGCAGAGGUCGGGUGGAAUUGCCGGUGUAGUGGUGAAAUGCGUAGAGAUCGGCAGGAACACCCAGGGGGAAACCAGCCGACUGGGCAAGUGCUGACGCUGAGGUGCGAGAGCGUGGGGAGCGAACCGG
rnacentral:rRNA from 1 species